UACACACCGCCCGUCACACCAUGGGAGUUGGUUCGACCUUAAGUCGGUGCGUGAACCCAGCAAUGGGGCAUAGCCGACCACGGUCGGGGUUAGCGACUGGGGUG
rnacentral:rRNA from 1 species